GCGCGCCGCCCCAACCCGCCGCUCCGCCGGGGUGGUACGGUCCAGGCCGCCAGGCCGCCAGGCCGCGAGGCCCCCGAGCGGACGCCAGUGGAUGACCCGCGGCGGGGGAGGAGGAGGUGAGGAGGUGAAGAAGAGAUACCAUCAGCAAAAUGCCAGACGUCGAGGAGAGUGUGCCCCCGAAGGACCCUGACGACUCAGAGGGCAGGUCCUGUAAGCCCGAAACCUCAGGACCCCCCCAGGAAGACAAGAGCGGCCCCGAGGACCCCCCUCCCUGUCUGACAGAAACCGUUAAUGAAGUUUCCAAGCUGAGCAACAAGAUUGGGAUGAAUUGUGAUUACUACAUGGAAGAGAAGGUUUUACCUCCAAGCAGUCUGGAAGGCAAGGUCAAGGAGACAGUGCACAAUGCCUUUUGGGACCAUCUUAAAGAGCAACUAUCAGCAACUCCCCCUGACUUCAGUUGUGCUCUUGAACUUCUGAAAGAAAUUAAAGAGGGCUGAGAGAGGCCAACCAAGGACCUCAUUUGAGAGGGCAUAGCUAUGCCAUGAGAAGUUACUGGCCUAUGUAUGCUGCUGACCACAGUGCACUGCAGGAGCC
rnacentral:sRNA from 1 species